ACGAUCAUAGCUGUCGAGAGGACGAUCAGCACCACUGGGACUGAGACACGCCCAGACUCUACGGGAGGCAGCAGUUAGGAUAUGGACAAUGGGCGCAGCCUGAUCCAGGCCAUGCCGCGUGAGUGAUGAAGGCCUUCGGGUUGUAAAACUCUUUAGCCGAUGAAUAUAAUGAAAGUAGUCGGAGAAUAAGCCCCGGCUAACUUCGUGCCAGCAGCCGCGGUAAUACGAAGGGGGCGAGCGUUAUUCGGAAUCACUGGGCGUAAAGCGUGCGUAGGCUGUUCGGAAAGUCAGAAGUGAAAGCCCAAGGCUCAACCUUGGAAGCGCUUUUGAAACUACCGGACUAGGAUUUGGGAGAGGAUAGCGGAAUUGUCAGUGUAGCAGUGAAAUGCGUAGAUAUUGACAGGAACACCAGUGGCGCAAGCGGCUAUCUGGACCAACAUCGACGCUGAGGCACGAAAGCGUGGGGAUCAAACAGGAUUAGAUACCCUGGUAGUCCACGCCGUAAACGAUGUGUGUUUGUCGCUGGGGGGUUCCCCUUCGGUGACGAAGCUAACGCGUUAAGCACACCGCCUGGGAAGUACGGCCGCAAGGUUAAAACUCAAAGGAAUUGACGGGGACCCGCACAAGCGGUGGAGUAUGUGGUUU
rnacentral:rRNA from 1 species